rnacentral:tRNA from 1 species
AGGCAUAGUUCAUCGGUAGAACACCAGCUUCCCAAGCUGGAUAGGCGGGUUCGAUUCCCGUUGCCUG